GAUGAACGCUGGCGGCGUGCCUAAUACAUGCAAGUCGAGCGAACAGACGAGGAGCUUGCUCCUCUGACGUUAGCGGCGGACGGGUGAGUAACACGUGGAUAACCUACCUAUAAUACUGGGAUAACUUCGGGAAACCGGAGCUAAUACCAGAUAAUAUAUUGAACCGCAUGGUUCAAUAGUGAAAGACGGUUUUGCUGGCACUUAUAGAUGGAUCCGCGCCGCAUUAGCUAGUUGGUAAGGUAACGGCUUACCAAGGCAACGAUGCGUAGCCGACCUGAGAGGGUGAUCGGCCACACUGGAACUGAGACACGGUCCAGACUCCUACGGGAGGCAGCAGUAGGGAAUCUUCCGCAAUGGGCGAAAGCCUGACGGAGCAACGCCGCGUGAGUGAUGAAGGUCUUCGGAUCGUAAAACUCUGUUAUUAGGGAAGAACAAAUGUGUAAGUAACUAUGCACGUCUUGACGGUACCUAAUCAGAAAGCCACGGCUAACUACGUG
rnacentral:rRNA from 1 species